AUUGAACGCUGGCGGCAUGCCUUACACAUGCAAGUCGAACGGUAACAGGUCUUCGGAUGCUGACGAGUGGCGAACGGGUGAGUAAUACAUCGGAACGUGCCUAGUAGUGGGGGAUAACUACUCGAAAGAGUGGCUAAUACCGCAUGAGAUCUACGGAUGAAAGCAGGGGAUCGCAAGACCUUGUGCUACUAGAGCGGCCGAUGGCAGAUUAGGUAGCUGGUGGGAUAAAAGCUUACCAAACCGACGAUCUGUAGCUGGUCUGAGAGGACGAUCAGCCACACUGGGACUGAGACAAGGCCCAGACUCCUACGGGAGGCAGCAGUGGGGAAUUUUGGACAAUGGGCGCAAGCCUGAUCCAGCAAUGCCGCGUGCAGGAUGAAGGCCUUCGGGUUGUAAACUGCUUUUGUACGGAACGAAAAGCCCCGGGUUAAUACCCUGGGGUCAUGACGGUACCGUAAGAAUAAGCACCGGCUAACUACGUGCCAGCCGCCGCGGUAA
rnacentral:rRNA from 1 species